ACGUAGGACGCAAGCGUUAUCCGGAGUUACUGGGCGUAAAGCGCGGGCAGGCGGUCCUUUAAGUCUGAUGUGAAAUCUCCCGGCUCAACCGGGAGCAGCCAUUGGAAACUAGGGAACUGGAGGGCGAGAGAGGUAGGCGGAAUUCCGGGUGGAGUGGUGAAAUGCGUAGAGAUCCGGAGGAACACCAGAGGCGAAGGCGGCCUACUGGCUCGCACCUGACGCUGAGCCGCGAAAGCCAGGGGAGCGAACGGGA
rnacentral:rRNA from 1 species